rnacentral:lncRNA from 1 species
CUUCUCUCUUCCUCCAGAGUCUCCAUGUGAUACACCGGCAAGAGAGGGUGCCAGUGGAAGGCAUACGCUAUAAGAUAAGUCUUAUAAAAUAUAUAGAUUUAUGAUAAUUAAGACUGAGCUAACAGAUGAGGAAUCCUAGUCAAUGGCCAAGCAGCAUUUGUACCUAAUACAAGUCUCUGUGUAUUAUUUGGGGCCCUAACUCCACAGGCAGAACUCGGGCAGCUGGAAAGUGCCCACAUGGCGGUAGGGCUCCCGUGGCUUUUGGCGGAAAGAUUUAUCAUAACAGUUAUUUGCAAAAACUAAACCAAACAAACCACUAAGUUCCUGUAGCCAUUCCUAUUUAAUCAAUAGCAAUUCAAUUUUCACAUUUUUUUUGCAAGAAAAAAUACCUUGGAAUCAUACUUUAACUUCACAAUCACAUCCAAGUAAUUAGUAAAUCCAUUGUGGCUUUACCUCUUUGGGACACUGGUCCAACCCAUCAUGAAUUCUCACCUCACUGCCAGAAAAAUCUGUUUUCUUCUUCCUUUACCCCUGGCAUUUUAGAUUAUGUUAAUAUGCAGCUCAGAUCAUGUCAUUCCUUGGAUCAAAACACCCCAAUGCCUUCCCAGCCUAGAGCAAAAAUUAAAUCCCUUCCUUUGAUCUCCCAGGUCCCACAUGGUUUAGCCUAUGUAUUAAUCGCUCAGAUCUAUCAUCCUCCAGUUUCCUACAUUUCUUCAUGCCUCAAUGGCUUUCUCCUACUCAUCAAAGUGUUUCUACCUCAGGGCUUUUGUUCUUACACUCUUGUCUGAGAUAGUUUUCCAUCACGAAUUGAAAUGACUCACUUAUUACUUCUUAAGGCAGUUGCUUACAUGUCAUCCUCUUGUGAGAGAUCCUUCUUGACAACCUCCCAUGCCUAAAAUGCUGCCUUAUUUUGACACCAUCCUUGCCUUCUCUAUUCUCCCCACUCUUCCUGUUAUACACUCCCCUAAAGUACCCAUUAAUUAGUAACACUGUAUAAAUUUUAGUGUUGUUCCUCUGUUACGUUUUUACUGCACUAGGAUGUAAUCCCCACAGGCACAGAUUUUUGUCAGCUUAACCCCACACUGUUGGCAUUACCAAUGUCCAGAACAGAGCUUACAAGAGUAGGCUUGUCAUAAACUUUACUAUGAGUACCAAGUAUCAGUGUUAUUUUGAUGACACAUGAAUGAGCAUAUGACAUUGAAACUGUGUCUGGCAAGUGCUAGGCUUUCAUUAUGUAGUUGACCCAGCAUACAAAGAGCAAUGCAAUAAAACAAUCCAGAAACAAGUAGUUGGUAACUUAGUAUAUUAGUAUAUGAUAUGAUAAAUAAUUCUUUUCAAAAUUAGGAAAGAGUUAAGUUUUAGAGUAAUCUGCUAGUUAUUUGUAGAUAAAAAGUAAAAUUCACCUACUUUGAUAACUUGUUUUGAAAUGCACUCUUUAUAUAGCAAAUAUUCAAAUGAAAAGCUCUAGAAAUAUUAGAAGAAAAUGAACAAAUACAGGCCUCAGGAGACUAGGUAUCUAGAGAAUUUCUGACAUAAUAAAUAGGACAAGCAGAAAAAAGUAAUGGAAUCUUGAAAUUCGCAGGCAAAUGGAUGGAACUAGAGGAAACCAUCCUGAGUGAGGUAACCCAGUCACAAAAAGAUAAACAUGAGCCUUCAUCCAGUAGCUGUUCAAAGCAGAAACAGGCACCCACAACUAAGCACUGAACCAUACUCCUGGAAUCCAGUUGUGGAGAGGAAGGAGGGAUGAGGAAAGGAGCCAAGACGGUGCUGCAGAAACCUGCAGAAACAGUUGACCUGACCUAGUGAGAGCAUGGAGACCCUAGUCAUAAAGCUGGGGAACCAGCAUUGGACUGAACCAAGCCUUCUGAAUGUGGGUGCCAGCUAGGAGGCCAAGACAGUCUAUGGGACCUCUAACAGUGAAGCCAGUCUUUAACCCUAGAGCACAAAUGGACUUUGGGAGCCCAUUCCCUAUGGAGGGAUACUAUUGCAGCCCAGAUACAGCAAGGAGGGCCGAGGCCCUCCCCCAAAUGAUAUGACAGACUUUGAAGUUCCCUGGUGGAGGGCCUCACUAUCCCUGGGGAAAAGUUGGAGGAUGGGUUAGGGGUGUUGGUGGGGAGCAUGGGAGGAUGGGAGGGUGAGGGAAUAGGGAGAUGGAUAUGUAAAUAGGAGUAGUAAUUAAAGAAUAAAAAAAAGAGUUCACCUUAAUCACUAGAAUUAAAC